AUCCGGCUGGCGAGUCCUAAAUAGGACGAAAUGCGCAUCCUGGCUGGAU
rfam:Trichobilharzia regenti genome assembly, scaffold: TRE_scaffold0005999